AGUGAACGCUGGCGGUAGGCCUAACACAUGCAAGUCGAACGGCAGCACAGGAGAGCUUGCUCUCUGGGUGGCGAGUGGCGGACGGGUGAGGAAUACAUCGGAAUCUACUCUGUCGUGGGGGAUAACGUAGGGAAACUUACGCUAAUACCGCAUACGACCUACGGGUGAAAGCAGGGGACCUUCGGGCCUUGCGCGAUUGAAUGAGCCGAUGUCGGAUUAGCUAGUUGGCGGGGUAAAGGCCCAUCAAGGCGACGAUCCGUAGCUGGUCUGAGAGGAGGAUCAGCCACGCUGGAACUGAGACACGGUCCAGACUCCUACGGGAGGCAGCAGUGGGGAAUAUUGGACAAUGGGCGCAAGCCUGAUCCAGCCAUACCGCGUGGGUGAAGAAGGCCUUCGGGUUGUAAAGCCCUUUUGUUGGGAAAGAAAUCCAGCUGGCUAAUACCCGGUUGGGAUGACGGUACCCAAAGAAUAAGCACCGGCUAACUUCGUGCCAGCAGCCGCAGUAA
rnacentral:rRNA from 1 species